GGGGGUGUAGCUCAGUGGUAGAGCACAUGCUUUGCAUGUAUGAGGUCCUGGGUUUGAUCCAGCACCUCCA
rnacentral:tRNA from 1 species